AGGAUUAGAAAUCGGCCUGAUUGUAGUUGUUGUAGUCGUGUUGCUGUAUGCAGUUGCUAUUACUUUCUUGCUAAUUCAGCUCAGAAGCAAAGUACCAGCCAGGACUGAAAAGAACAGACAAGAUCCUUACAUGGAUCUAAAACCCAGACCCGAGGCAGACAACACAUACCAGGAGAUCGCUAUUACCUCAUCGACUUCGUCCCAAAAAGCAAGAGAAAAAAGUCUACAAUCACCAAACCUGGAUUAUGAGAACCAGAAUGUUGCGCAGUUUGCAAACACAAGAAAAGACGGUGCUGAUUAUGAAUUUGUACUAACCCCAAAUUAAGACAACUGGAAGCUUUAUAAAAACUCAAAUUUGCUUCUCAGUAAUUGUUUGUCUCUUGAUUUUCAAUUACAGAGAACAAUAUCAUAGAUUAAUUGAGUAAUUCUGUUUCGAAGGCAAUACAAAAUCUCUCAAAAUGUCUUAAUUAAAUGCUAAACAUUGGCAAAAUUAACAGGGAAAAAGGCAUUACUUUUCCACAAAGAAUUUAGAAAAGUUAUGAAGAAUAUGUUGUAUCAAACAAAUACAGUUCUACUCUUAGUACUGUGAAUGCACUGCUUUGAUUGAAAUAUUGUAAUCAAACGCUGCAAUACAAAGGAAAAA